ACGGUCGACACGUACGGGAGACAGCAGUGGGGAAUAUUGCACAAUGGGGGGAAACCCUGAUGCAGCGACGCCGCGUGGGGGAAGAAGGUCUUCGGAUUGUAAACUCCUGUUGUUGGGGAAAAAGAGGAUGGUACCCAACAAGGAAGUGACGGCUAACUACGUGCAAGCAUCCGCGGUAAUCUGAGCGGGCUGGCAAGGC
rnacentral:rRNA from 1 species